AUUCAGCUGACGAGUCCUAAAUAGAAUGAAAUGCACAUCAUGAGU
rfam:Schistosoma margrebowiei strain Zambia genome assembly, scaffold: SMRZ_scaffold0000899